rnacentral:rRNA from 1 species
GAUGAACGCUGGCGGCGUGCUUAACACAUGCAAGUCGAACGAUGAAGCCCAGCUUGCUGGGUGGAUUAGUGGCGAACGGGUGAGUAACACGUGAGUAACCUGCCCUUGACUCUGGGAUAAGCCUGGGAAACUGGGUCUAAUACUGGAUAUGACUUCUCAUCGCAUGGUGGGGGGUGGAAAGAUUUAUUGGUCUUGGAUGGACUCGCGGCCUAUCAGCUUGUUUGUGAGGUAAUGGCUCACCAAGGCGACGACGGGUAGCCGGCCUGAGAGGGUGACCGGCCACACUGGGACUGAGAGACGGACCAGAGUCCUACGGGAGGCAGCAGUGGGGAAUAUUGCACAAUGGGCGCAAGCCUGAUGCAGCGACGCCGCGUGAGGGAUGACGGCCUUCGGGUUGUAAACCUCUUUCAGUAGGGAAGAAGCGAGAGUGACGGUACCUGCAGAAGAAGCGCCGGCUAACUACGUG